rnacentral:rRNA from 1 species
AUUGAACGCUGGCGGCAGGCUUAACACAUGCAAGUCGAACGAGUGGCGGACGGGUGAGUAAUGCUUGGGAAUCUGGCUUAUGGAGGGGGAUAACGACGGGAAACUGUCGCUAAUACCGCGUACCAUAGGAUGAGCCCAAGUGGGAUUAGGUAGUUGGUGGGGUAAUGGCCUCCAAAGCCGACGAUCUCUAGCUGGUCUGAGAGGAUGACAGGCCACACCGGAACUGGCACCCGGCCCGACUUCCUACGGAGGGCGGCAGUGGGGAAUAUUGGGCAUUGGGGACAACCGGACGCAGCCCUGCCGCUUGAAUGAAGAAGGCCUUCGGGUUGUAAAGUUCUUUCGGUGACGAGGCGUUAAUCACAGAAGAAGCACCGGCUAACUCCGUGCCAGCAGCCGCGGUAAUAC